UUAUUAUUAUUAUUAUUAUUAUUAUUAUUAUUAUUAUUAUUAUUAUUAUUAGGUCUUUCCACUUUUCUGUGGAAAGACCUAUUGUUUUUCUUCUGAUUAUUUUUUUUUUUUUUCUUCCGCCUUAUUUUGUUCUUGCGAUAAACAUUUGUUUCGCAAUAUGUCGCUUAGAUAUUUUGUAUAUGAUAUCGAACAGUUUAUGCGCUUUUGAAAUUUACCCUGUGUAAACGAAUACUUUUCUUUGUAGGAGUUAUCUCCCCAAACACUGUUUUCCUUGUUAGCGCAUCUCCUUCGCAACCGUAAAAUAUUAUGACAAAUUUAUUUUACAAAAUUGCUCGUUAUAUCCUUCGCAUGAUUUGUCCUAUUUUGACCGAAGUGAUUAUGAACGCGCUCCAUAUGAGAGUUAUUUCCCCUUAUGCAUUUGAUAUAAGUGAUAUGCAUUUCUAUCUUGUAAACCAUAAGUGCUAAAGACCAAGGAUCUUUUGAUUUGAGGUCCUUGGUCCAAAAAAAUAAUAAUUAGGUCAAGGUCAAAGGUCAAGGUCAUAUUCCAAUUUUUGAAUUUGGCUUAUUUCCACUAAUUUCCAGAAACUGUAUAAGAUAUCGACA
rnacentral:lncRNA from 1 species